rnacentral:lncRNA from 1 species
GGGGCAGGGAGGGCGGCGCGCACCAGAGCUGGGUGCGGUGAGGCGCGCAGAUCACCGCGGUUCCUGGGCAGGGCACGGAAGGCUCAAGAACCUGACCUGCUGCAGCUUCCAGUCUCGCGUUCGCCCCACCCCGCCGCGCCGCCCGAGCGCUCGAGAAAGUCCACUCGGAAGAACCAGCGCCUGUUCCCCGGGCAGACCCAGGUUCAGGUGAGCGAGCUUUGCCGGUAUGUCCCGCCCCGGAGCUGCCGAGCGCGCGCGCGCGGCGACAAGACUCGAGUCCUUUGGGGCGGACGGCCCUGUGGUUCUCGGCCUCCGCGUGGCGGGUUUCAGCGCGGUCGGGUGCGACCGGACUCCGCAUCCUCACCCGAGGGGUGAUAGGCAGCGAGGCCUCGGGGUUAGGGAACCGGGGGACGCAGUCCCCGGCCCUACAGGAUGCCCUUCCCGGUCGGGGCACUGGGAGCUCGGCCUGCUCCUGUCGCCUCUGCACUCCCGCCUCCCCGACGGCCAGCUCCGGCAAACUUUUUAACCCCUUCCGGGACGCAGCAGUCCCGGAGAUCUCGGCCGAGCCGGCCGGAUGCGUUCGUGGGCACGGGGCAGCAGCUCCUUUGUAAGUUUGGCAAAGGGAGGUAACGGGCAGGCGAGGACCGCUUGGCAGCUGUCAGGGCGUCCUCCUGAGUCAGGAUCGGUCGGUCCCGCCGCAGACAUUGCGCCCGGCACGGUUUCCGCCGUCCGCUGCGGACUUCCUCAUUUGUCCGUCAGCCCUUGGGCCGGGAGGGGGCGGGGAGAGGUACUCAGAGUGCGUGGGAAAAGGGGUCCCAGCUGCCGAGGGGCUCAGGGCGCAGGAAAAGAACCCCCCCGUCUGACCUCAUUCAACCUUGGAUUUCUAUUGCCCGAGGUCAGAAGGCCUGGGUCUGCCGGCAGCUGCCCCGUCGCCCGGGCAGGCGUGCACCUGAUUUCCACCGCACCUUGGGACGCCACGCCCGGGCCAGUCUCUGGGAGCUGGCCCUGACUUUAAGACCAGGCCGGGCAGCCGCAUCUUUUAUGUUUGAUGAGAGGCGGAGUUUUGAAGACAUCCCCCACUUCCUUGCACUAGGGUCUUCACCUCAUCCUGUUCUGGAGCCACGCCUAAGGCAGGAGCUGCACCCCGCUCCUCCGGGUCCCCAUCUCUCCCAGGCAAACUGAGUCAAGUACCCUCUAUGACUUGCUUGCGGGCUGUAGUGAAACUGAAGGCUGGGUGGGCUCGGGCGGGUGCCUAAGGCCCCACCCAGCGGUGUUAGGGAAAAGGUCCCUGGGAAGUCCCAGGUCUUGGAGACCCGGAGGCUGCCUCGGCUGGGCUACAGGGAGGUCCAUCGAGUUCUCAGUUCUCUGAGCGGUUUUCUGGAUUAGCAAGAUUUCAAAGUAACUUGCGUGCUUCCUACAGCAGCACCUAUACCAAAAUUGGAACGAUACAGAUUAGCAUGGCCUCUGCGUAAGGAUGACACGCAAAUGCAUUGAGUUCCGUAUUUUUUAGCCAACGCAGACUGGCCCAAGUAUCUCUAAGAGUGGCUCACUCUCAAGCACGACUUAGGAGGUUUCUGCCUCCCAAAGGACUCCCUCCUCUGCUGUAUGCCAGCCAGUCAAUCUCAGGACCUCCAUCUAGAACUCUCAAGCCACUAGGCAGAUCUGUAACCCGCCCCGGAGCCCCUCCUAAGCCUUGACCAAGUGAAAAUAAAGCUUUUUGAAACAGC